rnacentral:rRNA from 1 species
GAGCGGUCAACAUUUCUAGCUUGCUAGAAGAUGACGAGCGGCGGACGGGUGAGUAAUGCUUGGGAACAUGCCUUUAGGUGGGGGACAACCAUUGGAAACGAUGGCUAAUACCGCAUAAUGUCUACGGACCAAAGGGGGCUUCGGCUCUCGCCUUUAGAUUGGCCCAAGUGGGAUUAGCUAGUUGGUGAGGUAAUGGCUCACCAAGGCGACGAUCCCUAGCUGGUUUGAGAGGAUGAUCAGCCACACUGGAACUGAGACACGGUCCAGACUCCUACGGGAGGCAGCAGUGGGGAAUAUUGCACAAUGGGCGCAAGCCUGAUGCAGCCAUGCCGCGUGUGUGAAGAAGGCCUUCGGGUUGUAAAGCACUUUCAGUWAKGAGGAAAGGUUAGUAGUUAAUACCUGCUAGCUGUGACGUUACYUACAGAAGAAGCACCGGCUAACUCCGUGCCAGCAGCCGCGGUAAUACGGAGGGUGCGAGCGUUAAUCGGAAUUACUGGGCGUAAAGCGUACGCAGGCGGUUUGUUAAGCGAGAUGUGAAAGCCCCGGGCUCAACCUGGGAACUGCAUUUCGAAACUGGCAAACUAGAGUGUGAUAGAGGGUG